UACGAAGGGGGCUAGGCGUUGCUCGGAAUCACUGGGCGUAAAGGGUGCGUAGGCGGGUCUUUAAGUCAGGGGUGAAAUCCUGGAGCUCAACUCCAGAACUGCCCUUUGAUACUGAAGAUCUUGAGUUCGGGAGAGGUGAGUGGAACUGCGAGUGUAGAGGUGAAAUUCGUAGAUAUUCGCAAGAACACCAGUGGCGAAGGCGGCUCACUGGCCCGAUACUGACGCUGAGGCACGAAAGCGUGGGGAGCAAACAGG
rnacentral:rRNA from 1 species